AGCGAACGCUGGCGGCAGGCUUAACACAUGCAAGUCGAGCGGGCACUUCGGUGUCAGCGGCAGACGGGUGAGUAACACGUGGGAACGUACCCUUUGGUUCGGAAUAACGCUGGGAAACUAGCGCUAAUACCGGAUACGCCCUUUUGGGGAAAGGCUUGCUGCCGAAGGAUCGGCCCGCGUCUGAUUAGCUAGUUGGUGGGGUAAUGGCCUACCAAGGCGACGAUCAGUAGCUGGUCUGAGAGGAUGAGCAGCCACACUGGGACUGAGACACGGCCCAGACUCCUACGGGAGGCAGCAGUGGGGAAUAUUGGACAAUGGGCGCAAGCCUGAUCCAGCCAUGCCGCGUGAGUGAUGAAGGCCUUAGGGUUGUAAAGCUCUUUUGUCCGGGACGAUAAUGACGGUACCGGAAGAAUAAGCCCCGGCUAACUUCGUG
rnacentral:rRNA from 1 species